rnacentral:rRNA from 1 species
UACGUAGGGUGCAAGCGUUGUCCGGAAUUAUUGGGCGUAAAGAGCUCGUAGGCGGUUUGUCGCGUCUGCUGUGAAAUCCCGAGGCUCAACCUCGGGUCUGCAGUCGAUACGGGCGAACUGGAGUGUUGCAGGGGAGACUGGAAUUCCUGGUGUAGCGGUGAAAUGCGCAGAUAUCAGGAGGAACACCGGUGGCGAAGGCGGGUCUCUGGGCAACAACUGACGCUGAGGAGCGAAAGCGUGGGGAGCGAACAGG